GUGAGUUCCAGGACAGCCAGGGCUACACAGAGAAACCCUGUCUCGAAAAAAACAAGCAAACAAAAGAACCAAAAUAGAUAAAUAAAAGAAGAAGAAGUUCUGGUUCUUGGUGAAUGCUGUUCUCCAACCCCUCACACUUCACUUCCUAAAUGAAACUCUCAGGACAAGAAUUAGCAGGUGGACCAUGUUUGUUCUCUAGAGACCCUAAAAUAGAAUAAGCACAGAACAGAUGUGACUCAACUCUGCCCUGUUGUAAAAAUUUUACUUUAUUGGCUUUAAGUAAACUAGAGUAAGUUUAAAAAAAAAUGUAACUACGGUGUGACUCAGAAGACAGAUUUCAAGCUCCAGAGGCUGAGAGCGAUACGAUGCAUCUUUCUCUGUUUGUAAAGUUCUCUGUGAGAGUGGAAGCAUUUGUAACCAUUACACUGUAUACCUUUGUGUAGAGAAGUUAUAAAGAAGGAAUGGAGAGACAAAGAGGGUUAUUAUUAGACAUGUGGGUGCCCAGAGAAGAGGGACGCCAUGACCUGGGGAGGGUUUCAAACUGUAAAUGAAUGUGCUCUCCACCCAUACAUAGCAUUAUCGAUAGCAGAACAUGUGACAGUUAACCUAAGAGAACUAUAUAGUAGGAGGUAUAUAGACAUUAAACACACACACACACACAAUCAGCAGACCUUUCUGUCUCUUUGAGGAGGUCCUGGAACAUCAGCUUGAGUGCCUUCCCGCCUUCUGCUCUGUCCCCUUGGCAGUGACUUGACAGAACAAUGGAUACUGGACCCAGGUUACCUGGAUCUCACUCUGGUCAUCACCAUGCGCUAGUUCCGGGACCUUUGCCAAGGUCCUAAAUCUCUCAGAGCUUCAUUUUUCUCAUUUAUAAUGUGAGGAUUAUAUUGGAGCCUACUUUGUUGGACCUCGAGGUUUAAAAGUGACUUUGUGCUUAAAGCUUACCAUGGUACCGAAAGAGAACCAAAUGAGAUUAAGAGUUAAGAGCAUUUAGAAGUCAGUGCUCCUCUGACUCCUCCGGAAGCUGCGGAAGCUGCGUUUGGUGAACCAGAGCCCAGCAGUCGUCAUGUAACUCAGAUAAUAAAAUGAAAGAGCUGAAGUAGCCUUUGUGGUUCCUGGGCAUUUGUGAUGAGAAUGCCCCCGCAUCCCCCACUCCCCUACCCCCACCCCCAUCCUCUCUCUCCUUGUCCCUCUCUCUCCCUCUCUUUCUCCCUCUCUCUGUCCCUCUUCCUCUCUCUUUCUCUCUUCCUCUCUCCCCUCUUCCUCUUUUCCCCCCUCCCCCCUCUCCCACAGGGCAUCUUGUCCUUCCCACAUUAUAACUAAACAGCUAUCCAGCCCCCAUGUUGUAGCACUGUUCUCUUAGUUCUGAUAGCAGGCAAUGUGAUGUUCACUUUUAUUUUCAUUUUUAAUGUAUUUCUGUAUGAGUUUCAUUUUUUAUUAGAUUGUCUAGUCUCCAGACCCUACUGUAUAUGUCUGUUAUGAGCACUUGGUGUGAAGGUAGGUUUGGAAAUGAGAUGGAAACUAAACAAAUAACACCCAGUUAUAAAAGAAUGGGGCUUAAUAAUAGUACAGCAUACAUGUUCUGCUGCCACACUCCCGAGGAAGUCUGUUUGCAUAGGCCAAGAGUUUACAGGAAAGGGUGUGGCAAUAAUUUAUACAUAGGCCUAUGAGUGACUGGUUGAGACAUGAGCCCAUGACAUGCAAACACCACAGCGGUUGCAGGAGCCUCUGUUUCGUCUUCCUCGUUGAAUGCUCUUUUCAGGAUCUCGUGAGGAACACUGUAUCCUAGGGGACAAGAGAACCUCAGAGUUAAACAUCAGAACUCCUGGUGCUUUCUGAGGCUGACAGUCUAGAUUUCUUGAGUUAAACUUUAGGUCAGGGUGGUCCUAACUUAGUAUUUCUUUCGCAGGAAUAUAUGUGUAUUCAAGUUGUUCGUUGUUUUAUUUUGUUUGUGUUGUUUUGGUUUCUUGUUUGUUUUGUUUUAUUUUUAAGUAAGGGCAUAAUGGAAGAAGACACAGUUGUAGAUGAUUAAGGUGGCACACUGGGUGUGUGCCCCAGCUCAGACUCUUAUUUCCAGCUGUUCAAACUUUGUCUUUCUUGGAUAUGAAGCAUAUCAAAGUCUACAUCAUUGAAUGUGCUCGGUAGAAAUUGUUGUUCUUUGAUGUUUGUUCUAGCAAGGAAGAAAAUACGUUUUAGAAGCAGCUAGUACCUUUCCUGUGUUUUUUCUCUGUAAGCCAAGGUCUGGUUUUGCAAAGAGAGUUGAAGUGUAGGUGAAGGUCAUAAGUAGAUUUACCACCCCCAUCUCUGUCUAAUAAGUCAACUCACUCAUGAGUUUGACCCUGGUGUACAUAAGUGCUUUCAAUUGUUUAAAUUUGCAUCUGUUCUUUUCUGAAAACAUAUUUGGUCAGAUAAAAGCAUCAUGGUAUACCAUUUCUAUGGACCUGAGCAUUAAUUUUCUUUUCAUAUAACAAAUACUAAGAUAAGCCGUUGUCUAGUAACUUUGUCUCUUUUUCUUGUAAGUAGGUUGGGCUGAAAUAUCAUAGUACAUUCUAGAUGUAGUGGCCCUUGAACCAUCUCUGCCUUCACCAAUGGUAUACUAAAGGUAGUCUAUUGGAUCUUUAUAUUUUUUUGUAGGUGAUGAGACAAUGGUUUGGGUUAGAUAAUUCCACUUUCCAUAAGCUGAGCCCAGUUUACUAGCUGGUCUCCUCUUGUAAAUUGAAGUUGAGAUUUUCUUCAUUAGGUCCCUUAUGGUGCCUGUUUCUCUGCAGAUCUGUGAAUGGUACAAGAGACUUUCUUUGGUUUAGACUCAUUGGCGUGUUAAUAUUUAAAAUAAUAGUUGAAGGUUAAAAGUAGUCCAAACAUGCUUAAGAAAUGACUUUUUCCAUGUCCCAAAUGGACAGCCUUAAAGAGUCGAAUUCUUCAGGAAACUUACCCAAAGGACUCCAUUUAAAGUUUGUAACCUUUUAUCUUUUCUAUGUGUGAAAGAACAAGCUAGUCUUUGGUGGGUUAGAGAUCUUUGAUGAUGUAUAAAGCAUGUUUUUUAUCUAAGUUAUUUUUAAAUUGAAGGAAAGUUUGGUGUUGAUGGAGUUGGGGAACCUCUCUGUGUUUUGAUUCUUGGCUGAUCUUUUCAAAUCAAACGUUUGUAGUUAUCGUAUAUAGGAUAGUUAAGAGCUAUAUAUUUGAAAAUGUGUCUAUAUUCAGAUCUUGAAUAGUCUACUAGACACCAGGUCUAUUUAAAUUUGGCUUUGAACUGUGUCAACAUGAUGAAUAAUGAUUGACAUAAAUGUAGUAUAUUAUUUCUAUAAAUAGUGGUUUGAGAUGGUGGUAAUUUUAGAAUUUUUAAGAUGCUGAUCUCUGAAGCAUGUUAUUUUUGUAGUCAACUGGCACUGUUGAAUGCUCUGUCUAGUCAACUAUAGGUUUUCAGGUCAUAAUUAGAAUGCCUGAGUAGCCCAUGUUCUGAUUUGAGGAGGAGUUAUUAGCACAAGUCAGCAUUUUCCUAUAGAAUUCUUACUAAGAAAUGUAAGGGGGGGGCUUGUGGAGUAUAAAGGAUGCUGUCUUUGAUGGCUGGCUCAGAAGUAAUAAACUGCAUGCAUUCACUCAUAUUGAGCACUUUGGCUCAUCUUCAUUAUGCAGUCCUCCUGGGGUUCCUCAACAUAGGAUGGGUUUAGAAGAACUCAGGAGCUUUCAGUGGGGAGGUGAGUGGGCUCCAGGAACAUGAGAGAUGGAGUGAUUUAUUAACUGCUAUUGAAAAGUGCACUAACAGAAAGAGUGAAUAAAAUUAUGAUUUAUUAGGUAUCCACGAGUAGUAAGAUGAGGUCAGUACAGGUUAGAAUUACUUGUCUUUGUCUUAAUUUAAAAAUACGGAAUUUCUGCGGCAUGGGCUCUUUAUGGUCAUUAAUAUGUUCUAGAACUACCAUGCUGGGGAAAUGGAGUAAAUCCGUUCCUUACUCUACCAAAUGACAGCCAGAGUCGCCAGCUCUGUGCCUUGCCUGACAUAGGACCCAUCAGACACUUGCUAAAUGCACAGAUGUUUUUAACCACACGGAGCAUCGGGAGUAACUCUGGUUAAUUCAAGUAAUCAUCCAGGUCCUCCCGGGCUGCCAGCCACUGUCUAGUGAAGAGGGCUUGAGCUUUGUUUUCUUGUGGUUUCUCAGCCAGAAGUCAUAAGAAUCAUAUCUAGUGGCUGAAGAGAGUAAUGAAUAUAGAAAAUGACCUUUUCCAGUUUUAAAGCCGUUUCUCAGAAUGAUUUAUACAAUGAAAACUGUAUUUGUUUUAUUAUGUGCUUGUAAACUGGCCAUGAAAGCCGUUCAUAAAGAAAAAAAAAUCCUUUGAGCAAAUGUAACCUCACUGGAAUAAAUGUAAAUGACUGUGGAUUCUGUUAAAGGUCAGUACUCUCUUGGAGUAAAAAAGUUACAGUCUCUUGAAAAGUCACUCUCUCUGCCUUCUGUUUUACACCCAACAUUUUGUAUUUUUAGGUGCGUAGUUCUUAAAGACUCCCCAGUCAUUUCUGGUCGUUAUCUCCUAGGGUACUGACUAUAUUUAGUAAGGGCUGUCAUUUUCAGUGUAUUUUGAUUUUAUACAUGGUACAUCUAAUUAAAUUUUUCUUUUCCAUUCCUAUGAAAGUUCUUGAGACAAGUGUAUUUUAAUAAGCAGUUCUCACAGUAUCACAGUGUGAUUAAAAAGAAAAAAAAGCUA